rnacentral:tRNA from 1 species
GGCAAGAUGGCCGAGCGGUCUAUGGCGUGUGACUCAAGCGCAAGCUUGCCUGUAAAUGCAGGUUUCUCAUCUCCGAAAGGGGGCGUGGGUUCGAAUCCCACUCUUGUCA